GACAGAGGUGGCGAGCGUUGUUCGGAGUUACUGGGCGUAAAGCGCACGUAGGCGGCUGGAUAAGUCCUGUGUGAAAUCCCCCCGCUCAACGGGGGAACGGCAUGGGAUACUAUCCGGCUAGAGGGUUGGAGAGGAGAGUGGAAUUCCCGGUGUAGCGGUGAAAUGCGUAGAGAUCGGGAGGAACACCUGUGGCGAAGGCGGCUCUCUGGACAACCCCUGACGCUCAAGUACGAAAGCGUGGGGAGCAAACAGG
rnacentral:rRNA from 1 species